GAUGAACGCUGGCGGCGUGCCUAAUACAUGCAAGUCGAGCGAAGCGGGGACGGGUGAGUAACACGUGGAUAACCUCCUUUAAGACUGGGACAACUUCGGGAAACCGGUGCUAAACCGGCUACUUAUAGAUGGAUCCGCGCGGCAUUCGCUAGUUGGUAAGGUAACGGCUUACCAAGGCAACGAUGCGUAGACGACCUGAGAGGGUGAUCGGCCACACUGGAACUGAGACACGGUCCAGACUCCUACGGGAGGCAGCAGUAGGGAAUCUUCCGCAAUGGGCGAAAGCCUGACGGAGCAACGCCGCGUGAGUGAAGAAGGUCUUCGGAUCGUAAAACUCUGUUAUUAGGGAAGCGGUACCUAAUCAGAAAGCCACGGCUAACUACGUGCCAGCAGCCGCGGUAAUAC
rnacentral:rRNA from 1 species